AAUAAUAAGCUCCGAGCAAAAGCAUCUAAGGAGAAUUCUAGGAUGCUUCGCCAAAGCAAUGGAUUUGCUUUUGGGUUGAAGUGGAAACGCCUCAGCCUUCCGUGUUUGAAAAGGAGUAUUUAG
rnacentral:ncRNA from 1 species